UGCAUGCUUCCGAAUAGAAGAGCAUUCUCUCUGAAUCUGCGAACGGCUCCGCAAACCAGUUGUAAACCACAGCGAGCAAGCCCUCGGGCCCGCCGCAAGGUGGGUCCGGGGGUAAUAAGGAUAACCCUGGUAAUUCUGAGGCUAAUACAAGAACGUAAAACCUGAUCGACCGGCAACGGAAGGUUGGGGGACGUGCAAAAAGUCGCAAAAAUUGACUGGGAAUAGAUGCAAGUCCAGACCACCAUACCAAACAGUUCGCCUACUUCGGGAAGCGUUUCUGGGUGGCUCUCGCGAGGCGCUUCUGACCUAUCAACUAGAUGGCAGCGUAAGGGACAUGCUAUGGUUACAACGGGUACAGAGGAUAAGGGUUCGAUCCUGGAGAGUGGGCCUGAGAGAUUGCUCACACUUCUAAGGAAGGCAGCAGGCGCGCAACGUUCCCCUUGGGCAAAGCUCGAGGGCGUUAGGGGACAUAUGAAUGCCUGCCAAUUGGUGGGCAAUUCAAAUGGGUCUGUUCUAAACAGCCUC
rnacentral:rRNA from 1 species